AUUGAACGCUGGCGGCAGGCUUAACACAUGCAAGUCGAGCGGGGGAAGGUAGCUUGCUACCGAACCUAGCGGCGGACGGGUGAGUAAUGCUUAGGAAUCUGCCUAUUAGUGGGGGACAACAUCUCGAAAGGGAUGCUAAUACCGCAUACGUCCUACGGGAGAAAGCAGGGGAUCUUCGGACCUUGCGCUAAUAGAUGAGCCUAAGUCGGAUUAGCUAGUUGGUGGGGUAAAGGCCUACCAAGGCGACGAUCUGUAGCGGGUCUGAGAGGAUGAUCCGCCACAAUGGGAAUGAGACACGGCCCAGACUCCUACGGGAGGCAACAGUGGGGAAUAUUGGACAAUGGGGGGAACCCUGAUCCAGCCAUGCCGCGUGUGUGAAGAAGGCCUUAUGGUUGUAAAGCACUUUAAGCGAGGAGGAGGCUACUUUAGUUAAUACCUAGAGAUAGUGGACGUUACUCGCAGAAUAAGCACCGGCUAACUCUGUGCCAGCCGCCGCAGUAA
rnacentral:rRNA from 1 species